GACGAACGCUGGCGGCGUGCUUAACACAUGCAAGUCGAACGGAAAGGCCUGCUUUCCCUUGUGGAUUGCGGGUACUCGAGUGGCGAACGGGUGAGUAACACGUGAGUGAUCUGCCCCCAACUUGGGUAUAAGCCUGGGAAACUGGGUCUAAUUCCCGAUAGGACUGCAGGGUGGUGCCUGUGGUGGAAAACGAUUUUCUAGUGGUUGGGGAUGAGCUCGCGGCCUAUCAGCUUGUUGGUGGGGUAAUGGCCUACCAAGGCGGCGACGGGUAGCCGGCCUGAGAGGGUGGACGGCCACAUUGGGACUGGGAUACGGCCCAGACUCCUACGGGAGGCAGCAGUGGGGAAUAUUGCACAGUGGGCGGAAGCCUGAUGCAGCGACGCCGCGUGGGGGAUGACGGCCUUCGGGUUGUAAACUCCUUUCGACCGCGAGGAAGCCACAUGGUUGGAAGGGUGGUGACGGUAGUGGUAGAAGAAGCACCGGCUAACUACGUG
rnacentral:rRNA from 1 species